UUCAUCAAACCCACUUUUCCCUGGAGAAAUAUCAAAUACUUCCCUUUGCUUUAAGGCCCGUUUUAUACGUCGAAUUUUGGUCGCGUCGAAUGCAAUUAAGACAAUAGAUAAUGAGAUUACCCAAAUAACACCCGACUGGGAACAAUAGAAUCCGUACAAAUUUGACCUAAUCUAAUUUUCAAGCAAGUGCAUCAUCUGCAAAAGUUCGCAUUUUGUUUUCUUCGCUAUACUUACGCUGGCAACCACUAUUCAAGAUUAUUUAAAAUCUAUUAAUAUUAAGUCAUAAACAUAGAUUAAGGAAUGAAUAGAUGGCUCACUCCUUUGAUGUUUUUGACGCUGCCGGCGCC